rnacentral:lncRNA from 1 species
CUUAAUCUUGGGAGGAGACUCCACUCCUUCAGGUCAACCACUGGGCGCUCAAUUGAGCUUUCUCCAAGCUCUCGCCUCCGGCGGUGUGCAGCGUUGCAGAUUUGGAGCAGAGCUUUCCAUGGCCGGAGCUGAGCUGAGCUGAGCUGAGCGUGCGUGCCCUGCAGCAGCACGUACGUGUGGAGCUGCAGACAUGUAAGGUCAGUCCACUGUCCUUUUCUCUGCUUUCUGGAUUUCAGUGUUCUUGCUCUGCAUAUCUUGCUCUACCCUUGUGUUGAGAUUUGAUGAAUACCGAUUUGCCCUGCCUUUCUGGUUUUCUGUCGCUCUUUCCAUGCGGCAUGAUUCGAUGGUGAAAUGGAGAGUUCUUGCCUUAGAACCGGUAGUUUGUUCUGAGAAAAAUAUCAAAUCAAAUACUUGUAAAUAGUGCAUACUGCGUCAUUUCUCGGCGCAUCAAUUGAUUUUUUCACACGUGGGAAAAAAAAUGCUACAGCCAUUGGAAUUUAGCCUAUAUUGAAUAUCAGAUUCCCCACGGGGAGAGGUGGAGACAGAGAGCCCUCAAGCCCUCGACCUUCAGGAUGGGCAUGUUCUUCAACAGGCCUGCCUGUAUACAUCUGAAUAAGCCUAUGUACUAGUAGAAAAAGAUUUAGCUCUAUAAGAUUAACUGUUACUGUCAAAUUUGGUUAAUAAGUGGUUACUUAAAAAAGAACAAUUUUAUAGUGCUUAAAAAGUUAUCAGGAGAUACUAUUUUUUUCUAUGUAAUUUUGACACCUUAGAUACUAAAUUUGGUUAAUAAGUGGUUACUUAAAAAAUACCUCUUGGUAUCUAUUCAAAUACUAUAAAAUUGCUUAAAAAAUGUUGGUCAAAGAUAGCAAAGCACAACUUAAUCAACCAUGAAAGAUUCUAAUAGAGUAACAGUAGUACUCCUAAGGUUUUAAUAGAGCAACAAUAGUACUCCCUAAAUUUAUCUUUUCGUUUAUAUUUAAGUUUAUAAGUCAAAAUUUAAUUUUUUAAACCUUAAAUUUGGAGUUGAUUUUAUUAUUUUUAUUAUCAUUUAUUUUUUAGCCUUAGCUUUUAGAUCGCUGAGAACACAUAUAUAAGUUUUUUAUUUACAAAUAUUUUUUGUUUGUAAAUAUGUUGCUUGGUUUUUUCUACAAAACAAAAAACCAACCCCUAUGAUUCUUGUUGUCGUAGAUUGGUGCGAGUCAAACAUUUAAAAUUAUUUAUUUAUUUUUACAUAUAUUUUAGUAUAAAGUUAUAGUCAAAGUUAAAUUUAAAGAUCGUGUGAUAUCCAAAGCUAUAAAAACUUCGAAUUGGUGGGAGGAUUCCAUAACCUUUUUUCUUUUCAAAGAACAUACUACUACUACUCCAGCAGAGUAAAGUAGUACAGACUAACAGACGGACACUCUGCACGGCCACAUCGGUUGAGUGACUUACAUGCGGGCCCUACCUUACCUGCUGUGCAGUUGCGUCAGCGAUGGUUCCUCGGCAUGAUGCAAAGCUGAACACACACCAACUGGACGUAGCUUUUUAACACGUGAGUGGAUAUACGUACGUAUGUUAUCUAAAUAGUCAUAAACGAGUGUAGAUAUAUUUGUUGCUUGUAUGUUAUCUAAAUAGUCUAAAAAAUAAAAAAUAUAAAAAAAUUUAACAAGAUAGUUUAAUAUGAGUUAUAUCACUCCAACAACAUGCAAGUUUAAAUUCAACUUGUACAAAUUAUAGCAAAAAUAACAAAAAAUAAUUAUGAAUAUGCGUAUACUUGGUUUCAGUUUUGUUUGUUUUUUUGCUACAACUUGUAUAAGUUGAAUUUAAACUUGCAUGUUUAUAGAGUGAUAUAAAUCAUAUUAAUCUAUCUUGUCAAUUUUUUUAUAUUUCUUGAUAAUUAUUUAGAUGAUAUAUAAGAACACAAAUAUACCUGCUUCCCCGCACCGCCUGCCUUGGCACAUCCCUUUCCUGGCUUCAGGUCAAUUGGCCAAGCCCACCACAAUGCCAAAAAUAUUACUCGCCACCACGGAGGUAGUGCCAUGAUAGUAGCUGAGGUGUGGGUCCCAUUAUAUGUGGGACCCGUGUGUCGGUAACUAUAAUGGUGAGUGACACGGCUGGUGCUUGGAAACUUGCCGUCUCGCGCGAUUCCAUCGCGAGAGUUUCCUCUUCGUCCAUGAACCCAUGAACCCAACCCCUCCUUCUCCGUCCUCGGCGGCCUCGUGCAUCAACCCAGCCCCUCCCCUCCCCCACAAAUCCACCCCCCCCCCGCCCACCUUCACCCCUAUCUACAGUGUUCGAUCCUCCCAACAAACCAAGCUCUCCCAAUGGCGAGCAUCCCCUCGGGCGCCGCCUUCUUCGGGCUGCUGGCCUCGACGUACGCCACCGGAUUCUUCCCCAACCUCGACGUGCAGGCGGGCGCCGCCAAGAACAUCGUCGUUCAAGCUCCGCCGCUCGACGCCGCUGUCCAGACGAUGCUGCUGGUGGCUGCGGCGUUGGGCGCCUUCAACGCCGCCGUCCGGCUCAUCUAUGCUCGCCUCUACAACGCCGCCGCCGCCACCGCCUUGGACAGGAGGAUCCCGCAGGUAGUUUACCUCACCCUGUUCGCUUCUUCCGGGCUGCUGGUGGUGGUCCCUCAGCCAGGCGCCAUCGACGGCGGCCAUGAUCUUCUUCCUCUCGCCGUCCCAGUUGUCGGUGCACUCCGUCCAGCUGCUGCCGCAGCCACGUUCUUCCUCUCCGUGACGCUCAUCUACGCCCACGUCCGUGCCGUCGGUGAAGGUGGAGCCGACGCCGUCGCCGCCGGCAACGUACCAAUCCUCCCGAUCAUCGUGAGCCUCCUCACCAAGCUGGUCCUCGCUGCCGCGCUUCUCACGGUCGUUCUCACCCUCACCUCUACCGUCCUUGCCUCCUACGCCGGCUGAUCAGCAUGCCUCCAUCCAUGAGGACAUGAACACACACACUGCGUGCUGGUAAGGGAUCUCACCAUGUUCUCAGGAGUUAUACUUGGAGUCUGUGUUCAUGGCCGGUUUGUUGAAACAAUAGCAGAUUGAUUAUGCUGUACGUGAGUUGUUUCUGGCAUAUUUGUGUGUGGCCAGCUAGAUGCAACUCCUUAAUACUUGCUAAUGGUUCUGGAUUUGAUGGCGAACUGAGAUUAAUUAUGGUAUAUUUGCACGCACUUUAGCUAUGACUGUAUUACUUGCAUUGCGUGUUUUGGGAUGCGACACUCUUGUUAAUUCAUUAGCCCCGCGCGACAUGUGAGCUAAGUGGUGCUCUUGAGUCGAUGGCAGCGGGACGACGAGUUAACGGAGACGAACUGGACCGAGGAAUUAAGCAGCCUCGCCUGCUUAUUCGUGUUCGUCUGUUUGAUGCCCUUGUGUUGUUUGAUUUGUUGCUUCAUCGAUCUUUUGGCCAGCGUACAGAGUCUCUCCUAAAGCAACUUGGCUGGUUUUAUUUCCGAGAAGUUUUACGAUUUCUAAGGGCUCAAUCGUUUGGAUGUUACCGGUGAGAAACCCGGGGAAAUAGCUCCUCACGGGGAAUAUUUAUGUGAAUAGUAGGUUGUAGAACACUAUAAAAAAACCAUCAGAUUUUAUUACUAGAUAUAAACUCCUGAUCGGGGCCUAGGAUGUGAACCCGGUCCACGUGCAAAUGAUUGUAAUUAUAUGGUUGCUAUGGGUAAACAAGGAGUUAGCUCGGGUCUAUUGUGAAACUUGGUUUAUAAACGUGGUAUAAAGAAAACAUUACUCAAAAAUAAAUUUAAAAUAGUUUUCUAAAAAACUUCAUAUAAGGAAGAUUUAUUAAACUUGUAUCAUUUAGGAGUUUAGAAGUAUGUGCAUAAAUCCAACGACAAGUUCGUUCAAAAAGAAUAUGGCUUGAGCCUUGAUAUACAUGAAAGAUCAAAGCUUCCUGAAAUGGACUUUUACUUAAGAGAACCCAAUUACCGACGUAAAAGGGAGAGGGUCAAUAUAUUGGGAAGAAAUAACAAAUUUAUAUAGUCAUGCCUUGUUAUAGCGUUAUUUCUCAAUGCAUCAAUCGAUUUUUCCACAAAUGGAGAAAAAUGCCACAACUAAUGUAGUUUUUUAGUCAAACUUUCAGCACAGUGCUUAUAUGAGUUUUUCUUUUAUCUUUAAACCUUUUAAACUAAUAUUUUAAUAAUGGAUUCUGCCAACUUUUAUUUUCAAAUCUUAAUAUUUUGACCACACCAUGGUUCCAAAAUGUUCAGAUUUAAAAAUAAAAGCUGGAAAAAUCUAUUAUUAAAAUAUUAAUCUAAAAAGGUUGUUAAACUAAAAGAAAACAGCACAUUCCCCACGGGAGAGGGGGAGACUUGGAGUGUGAGCCAGUGAGGUAGAGAUAGAGGCCUCAACCCUCAGGGGCAGGGAGCAUGUUGUGUAACUCUCUGCCUGUAUACAACUCAAAUCUAUGCCCUACCAUCUUAUAUUUUUUUCUUAUUCUUAAAAAUUUAAAAUUUAAAUUAUCAAAGCUAUUUUAAGUCUUAAUUUUAGAUCGCUAAGAGUACAUAUAUAAAAUUUUUAUUUAUAAAUUAUUUUUUAUUUUUAAAUAUAUCUUUUGGUUUUUUUACAUGAAACAACCAGUAGAAAAAAAAUAGCUCUGCAAUAUUGUCUAUUGCUGUCAAAUUUGGUUUAAAUCAAAAGGUGGAUCCGUGGAUAUUACAAAAGUGUGGUCAAAGAUAACACUAUAACAGUAGUAGUAUUCUAUUUUUUCCCCCUUUUUACAGAAACCACUAGAGGUAGAGUAGCGCAGUUGGCUGCUGGCCUGACGGGCAACCUGCACGGCCGCACAGACGCACGGUCAACGGAAACCUGCACGUCCCUUUGGUGGUUCUCUUUUAACCUUAGAGAAAAAUGCUCGUAUAUGUCUUAAAUUUCAGCUCAUUCUUUGUAUGUUUAAUUUUGCUUAUUUUUUAUAUAUCUAAAAUUUAUUUUUAUCCUUUUCAUGCCUAACGAAACCACAUAAUCUAUUAUAAUAUAAAAAGAACCAUGAAAGAAUGUUUCACGUUCGCUCUGAAGACUAGAAAUUAUCAUAUUAAUUAGAUAAAAGGAAAAAAUAUAUCAUUAGAUCGUGGUGAGCCUAUAUUAUAACAGUUGAGACUAAUUGAAUAUAUAUAACUAAAGGAAAAAAUAGACAGAAAAAAAGCAGUACAUGGAUACUACUGUGGCUAACCAGCAUGCAUGCACGUUAUGUGAAUAUGGAUUCGGUGACAUUGUCCCGUAAUAUUUUCGGUGAUAUUAAAUCACUGACGUGUGGAAUCCAUAUAUAUUCAAUCCACAUGUGAUUCUAACUCAAUGUCACCGAGAAUAUCACGGGCUAAUGUCACCGGCAUCGUGUAUAUGUACCUGAUGUUGUGCUAGCAUAGUAGCAUACCAUGCACUUGCAUGGGUCGUGGUGGCCAGUGCUCGGCCGACAACGAGGCCAGGCCUAGCUGGCCCGUUAGCCUGGCUGCGCAGCCACGUGAACGCAGAAGGCCGAUGGCCCGGUCAGAUGCGAGCCCACGCUGGCGUGUGCGGCCCAUCUCGGCUAGGCCGGCCCAGGCGGCAUGCGGUUGACCCCACACGCUUUUGCUAUUUAUCUUUGUCUAGGGCCGUGUUCUUACCCAAUCAAGGUAAUUUAUCUCUCUCGUUUUCCAUGCGCUUUCCGAACUGCUAAACAGUGUUUUUUAUAAAAAAAUAAAAAAGUUGUUUGAAAAAAUCAUAUUAAUUUAUAUUAUAUUUUUUUAAUAAUUAAUAAUUUAUUUUUGUGUACUAAUCUAUUACUAUGUUUUUCGUGCCGAGGAUAAAUUAACUUACCCCCUCCAUCCGAACGCGGCCUAUGUAUUAAAAAAUGCCGCUUUUGCUAUUUAUCAAAUUUUGACACUGUCAGUCGAUUUUUAUUAGCCGCUGCCGCGUCGGACGAUGUUGCGCAGCAGGUGGGUCUGGCCCACGCAGGAACGAUGCGUGAGCGAACUCCCACCGGUCCAGAUCGACCUUGCGGAAGCCCUGGCAGCAAUCGAUCGACAAAUCCAAGCAGAAUCAAGGCCACAGAUCCAAAUUACUUCACACUUUUCUGAUUUUUUUUAGUCGAUCACUUUGAUUGUUUGAUCUGAGUAGCUCGAUCUAUGCUCGUAGCAGACUUUGGCGUGUUACUAAUCAAAUCACACUGUAUAUUAAAAUUGCACAAACGGUAAUCUAUAGUUGCACAAUAUAAAAAAUAAGCAACUUUAGCAUAGCCGAUGUGUAACUUCAGUAUAAACUAAGUGUAACCAUAGUUUAUAUAUAUUUGGUAGAAUCGAUAGCAAUUUUCAAAAAUUUCAGUGGACUGACUCCUAGCGGACCCAUAAUGAGAUUGUCUAGAUUUCAGUUACUUGAAAUCUUUAAUUUUUUCGAUCAUUUUUUGGGAUGACAAUCCAAUGGUUAUCAUAACUCUGCUAUUACUUAUUUAAACAAAGCCCUUUCUCCUUUGUAGAUAAAAAGUUGGACUCUAAAUUAUUCUAGCCACGAGAAAUAAACUUACAAUUUAGAAACGUUUACAAAACUACGAGCAAAAGCAUUUAAAUAUACUCCUUGUACGUACAAGUUUAUCUAAGUUUAGAGAAAAGAUAGCAACAUGUAUAACACUAAAUUAAAUUUUAUUAAAUCCACCAUUUAAUAUAACUAUAUAAUAUAUUUACUUUGUGCUGAAAUAGCUACUAUACUUUUUCUAUAAAUUCAGUCAAAUUAAAGCAGUUUGACUUGAAACAAGUCCAUACACGCCGUAGAAUUGUCUUUGGUCAAAUUGGACAUUGCAUAGGUGAAACGUACAAAACACUAAUUUUCUUUCAUGCAAGGGGAGUUUAAACAACUAUGAUUAAUCAACAUUUCUCUUAGCAAAUUCUUUAGACAAAAAAAAAGGUCACGAACAGACGUAGCACAAAAGAAUUAAGGAAUAUAGGGUAUGUACAAAUUCGGUUUGUGUGUUCUAUGUACUCAAGCGCCGCCGUGCGCCGGCUCAGAUUGUCAGAUCACGCUGGGGGGGCUCUCCGGCCGCUUCACUCUGCUCGCGUACCGGCCGUCGCGCAGCGGGCUCUCCGCGUGCACCGGCGACGUGACGUGCUUCUUUCCCCGGCGGCUCACCGGCGCCGUCGCAGGCUCGUCGUCCCCGGCGCUGCUCCCCGCCGCCGCCGCAUCGUCAGCGGCGGCGCCGGCGACCGUGAACACGAACGGGCCCAUGGGCACGUCGUCGUCGACGGCGAGCAGCGGCUCGAGCGCGUCCACGACGUCGCGCAUGCAGGGCCGCGACUUGGGCACGGCCUGCAGGCACUGGUGCGCCACCUUCGCCGCCGCGUGCGCGGCGCGCACCGAGUACUGCGCGUCCAGGCCCGGGUCCAUGAUGCGGUGCAGCUUGUCGGCUCGCCGAAGGUAGGGCCGCGCCCAGUCCACCAGGUUCUGCUCGCGGCCGCGCCGCCGCUUGUCGACGGACCGCCGCCCGGUGAGCAGCUCCAGCAGCACCACGCCGAAGCUGUACACGUCGCUCCUCGCCGUGAGGUGGCCCGUCAGGAUGUACUCCGGCGCCGCGUACCCGUGCGUGCCCAUCACCCGCGUCGUCACGUGCGUCGCGUCGCCCUGGGGCCCCUCCUUCGCCAGCCCGAAGUCCGACAGCUUCGCCGUAUAAUCCUGAAAAAAAAAACACAAACAAGGUCAGCAAAUUAUGAUCGCCAAAGAUUCUAAUCGCUUGCAACUUAAUCAAACUGUGAGCCAAAAAAGUUAUGAUUUUGUUGUGCAUUUUGACUUCAUCAUCAAAUCAAUGUUGCGGUAGUGGUUGGCAUGUACCGUACUGACACGACAAAACCAGUUUGGCAGUUUGGAUCGUUGAAUGAUAAGAACUGUGGGGGUUUCCUAACGAACCCAGACAGAACUAACCAAUUAAUCAUUAUACGCCCAACGCCCCAUUUCUGUAGUAAACAAUGGAGGUUUGGCUGCUAAUUUGUCGCGUUAUCUCAACACAGAAUCAGAUUUGAGCACGGGUGUCUUCGUUUAGUUAAUCUUAUUGAUAGAAGCUACGAUUUGACCAGGCUGGAAACAGUUGACAAAAACGUGCGAUCCAUUCGCCUCACUGGCGUGUCGCGUACAAAUUAAACUACUACAGUUUACAAGGAUCCAGCUCUUAAAUUGCGUUCUCAAAUCGUAAUUACCCCUAACAGCAAGCAAAUUAAGUGGUCGGCACUAUCGAAUUCUGCUGUAAAUUAAAAAUUUAAAAUUCAUGCGUGAUACUGCUUGCUGUUGAUCGAUCAUGGCCGGGUGAGAUGGGAGACCGAUGACGUGCAAAUCUUUUACGCGUUCGAGAAAAAAGACGGGAGACUGGAGCUGGACAGCCGAAGGUUACCUUGUCGAGGAGAAUGUUGGAGGCCUUGAAGUCGCGGUAGAUCACCGGCGUCUCGGACUCGUGAAGGAAGGCCAGCCCCUUCGCCGCGCCGACGGCGAUCUUCAGCCGUGUCGACCAUGGCAACGACGCGAGCAGAUCUGCAGAUUAGCCAAACCCUCAGUUAGCUAGCUAUUCAACACGAGAAGAAUUAAGCCCAAAUCAUGUGGUAAUUAGUGCUCCCGAGCUACUGUACUUACUCUUGAACAGGUGGUUCUCGAGGCUACCCCUGGGCAUGUACUCGUACACCAGCAUCCGGUGGUCGUCUUGGUUGCAGAACCCGACCAGGUUCACCAGAUGAGGAUGGCUCAGCAUCCCGAGAUACACCACCUCAGCCUGAAUCACGAAUCGACAGCGCAACAAACACUCGAUCAGAGCGGGAUCAAAACGAAUUAUGAACUGGUACAAGUGAUUAAUUAGAACAUCAUCAUCAGACGAGUUUGAAGGUGAUUCGCCAUGAUCAGUUCAUCGACAGUAUAACGACGUACCAGCCACUCGCGGUGUCCCUGGACGCCGUCGCUGUCGAGGUACUUGACGGCGACGUGCUGCGCCUCGAGGCCGGGGCGGAGGCUGCCGUCGAUGAAGCCCUUGUAGACCGGGCCGAACCCGCCCUCGCCGAGGAAGUUGCUGGUGGAGAAGUUCUUGGUCGCCGCCUUCAGCUCGUCCAGGGUGAAGGCGUGCAGGUUCGUCUUCGCCAGCGUCCGGGACAGGUCCUCCAGCGACAGCGACCGGAGGUUCACCGUCCUCCGCCGCCGCAGCACCGGCUUCUGCCUCUGCUCCUUCCUCGCUUCCGCCUCCUCCUCGCCGCCCCGCCCGAAGCACGCAAACAUGCGCCUCGCCAUGUCUUACGACCAAGCUGCUAGCUUUAUCAAUCAAUCAAAGAAGCCAAGAAUCGUCGCCGGAGUCGGGUUGGUGGUCCGUCCCGAGCUGGGAGAAGAAGACGAAGAAGAAGGCAAGAAUCGUCGGCGGCCGGAGUUGGAGCCGAUCGAGCUGGGACUGGGAGAAGAAGGCGAGACGACGCGGGAGUAUAUAAAGAAGUGUGUGGCCUUGGAUCAUUAGGCUUAAUCCAAUCAGCUUGUGAGGUGUGCGAGUGGCUUCCGGGUGGGUGCACGGGUUAAUUCCAGCAGGUGAUGCAAUUGGAAAAGGUUACUAAUUCACCAUGCUAAUCAUUGCAUCUAUCGAUCGGUGAUGAUGUGUUGUUCUUAAUUUUUUUUCCAGUUAGUUAGUGGGCGAAAGCUACGUGAAAUGGCUGCGUGAUGGGGGCCGGGCGAUCGAUGUGAUGCAUUGGAUGGAAGGCUUUGGCUUGCAAUGGAUGGUGACACACCAACACCACACUGAAACUUCCUUGGUGUAAAGGAACAAGCUAGCUAGACUACAAGAGUAGUGGUUUGUUUGCUCCUAUCGGUUUACUGGAGUUAAUUGCAUUGGUGUGUUUUAGGUUGCUCCUGUCUGGCCCUUCUCCUUAAUAUACAUGGAUAAGAUCAUAUUAGGUGAUCCACUACUGAUGUUACAAGUUCCAACAGGCAAGCUUGAUUGGAUGUGUUUAUAGAAUUGCAGGCCUCACCAAUAUUUCGUA